rnacentral:lncRNA from 1 species
UAUAGAAACCAGCAAGCAAAUAAUCAACUUUUUUUGGGGAAAGAAGUUUUUAAUCGUUUCAUUAUUUAUUCCUCUCGUUAAUAAUGUCUUGGCAGAGAUGGAUUAAACCCGAGGUUUACCCUUUAAUGGUACCAAUUGCGGGAGUUAUUGGACUAGUUGCAACGCAACCUUGUACGUAACAUAUCCACCAAUCCUGAUGUGAGGGUUACUAAAGAAAAUAGAGCCGCGGGGAUCUUGGAGAACCAUAGCGAGGGUGAAAAGUACGCGGAACAUAGAUUAAGGAAGUUUGUUCGAGGUCGGACCCCUCAGAUAAUGCCAUCAAUCAACGACUAUUUUACUCGGGAGUAAUGUUUUGAAAAUCAAAUAGAUUGAUUGAAGUGGUACCAUAUUGGUUGAAUUUUUGCAUCGAUUUUCAUAUCAUGGAUUUAGAUAAACAAAUUUGAAAAGAGAUAAUGAGAUAUGAUGUAUUUUUU